rnacentral:rRNA from 1 species
UUGGUCCUACGGGGGGCAGCAGUGGGGAAUAUUGCACAAUGGGGGAAACCCUGAUGCAGCAACGCCGCGUGAGUGAAGAGGUAUUUCGGUAUGUAAAGCUCUAUCAGCAGGGAAGAAGAUGACGGUACCUGAGUAAGAAGCCCCGGCUAACUACGUGCCAGCAGCCGCGGUAAUACGUAGGGGGCAAGCGUUAUCCGGAUUUACUGGGUGUAAAGGGAGCGCAGGCGGCAGCGCAAGUCUG